UCGCUGCCCAGGUUUCCUGUCCUUGAGGACCCGGGCCUGGCGUGCCUGGGACGUCAAUUCGGUGAGGAGCUGUAGAAAUAGAGAAAGGGCCUUUGCUUUCUGUUCAGACUCAUCUUUUCCUCUGCUGCUUUUGGUGACUUCUUGGUGAAACCUGAGGGAAAGGAGACUGCCAAACGACAGCUGGCUACAGAGUCUCUGAGUGGAGCCCAAGAAGUGAUGCUGUGCAGGUUAUUGCUCUAUUGCCGCGCUGUUCCAAAUCCGCCCUUUUUGACUGCACUGUGAGAAUGGAUCUGGGCCCUUUUAAGCAUCUUGUGUUCUCUUCUGGCAUCCAUGAAACAGUGACAGGCCCCACAGACCCUUCACAGAUCCUGAAACUACUCGUCUGCCUAAGAGAAUCACGACACUGUUGGCAUAAUCUUCACCUCCUUAUGCUUUCCCUUCCAUGAAGCUGAGAAAGAGGAUGAGUCAAGUAACAUAAUAAACUUCUGAGAAGGUUUCUCUUAGUAGACUAAGAAGCUAAAAGAUCAAGAUCUGGAAAGAAUAGCAAAUCUCUUAGUGAAAAAACAGCCAAGAAAAUUAUUGCUCUCCUAGCUCAAAGAGAAACAUUAAUUAAAGGUAAGAAACAGGCAAGAAAUAAAAUGGAGAACUUGUAAGAGUAAAUUAUAUUAUAAUUAACACUUAGUAAUUCUAAAUUUUAGAGCAUAACU
rnacentral:lncRNA from 1 species